GAGUAACUGUUCAUCCCUUGACGGUAUCUAACCAGAAAGCCACGGCUAACUACGUGCCAGCAGCCGCGGUAAUACGUAGGUGGCAAGCGUUGUCCGGAUUUAUUGGGCGUAAAGCGAGCGCAGGCGGUUUCUUAAGUCUGAUGUGAAAGCCCCCGGCUCAACCGGGGAGGGUCAUUGGAAACUGGGAGACUUGAGUGCAGAAGAGGAGAGUGGAAUUCCAUGUGUAGCGGUGAAAUGCGUAGAUAUAUGGAGGAACACCAGUGGCGAAGGCGGCUCUCUGGUCUGUAACUGACGCUGAGGCUCGAAAGCGUGGGGAGCAAACAGGAUUAGAUACCCUGGUAGUCCACGCCGUAAACGAUGAGUGCUAAGUGUUGGAGGGUUUCCGCCCUUCAGUGCUGCAGCUAACGCAUU
rnacentral:rRNA from 1 species